GCCCGUCUAGCUCAGUCGGUAGAGCGCAAGGCUCUUAACCUGGUCGUGGGUUCGAGCCCCACGGUGGGCG
rfam:Oryza sativa Japonica Group DNA, chromosome 1, cultivar: Nipponbare, complete sequence.